AUUAUAUUUGGAGAAGUGCGGUGAAAAUCCGUCGCAACAGCCAUUACCGUUAAAGUCGGGUCGCCUUGUAUAAUUGUUCGGUUAUUUAGCCAACAGCUAUAACACUUUUGGGUGUAUGAAGAGUGA
rnacentral:ncRNA from 18 species